AUGGUAACAAGUUGGGGUGAUGUAGUUGUGAGUCACGGUUUGGUGUGUGUGGUGUACACACACGAGCUGUACACAGAGCAGCUGAACAGAAGGGAGCAGGAGAAGAAAAGAACCAGAGCAGGUACUUCCCAGACAUUUGGGAGCAGCGUUGUCACAGGCAGCACUCACUCUGAACACUCGGAUUCUCAGAAGGAAGCCGCACAGACAGCUUGGCAAAAGUGUGCUCGGUGCAGCACGGCAGAAAUGUGCAGAGAAAUAAGCUGCUUCCAGAUCAAUAAAGGAGUAAAUGAGAGGAAGCUUCCUACACAGCUCCUAAUAAUCUGUAAUGGAAAAACUAUGAGACUACAUUUUAACCCAAAUACCUUCUUUAUUGCUCUUUUUAAAGAUAAUCUGUGAGUCUGACCUAAAACAGUGACAGCAAACCUUGGGUAACUUAUGCUUUAGGUUGUUUUGCAGAACGUGGAGGACAAUUCACUGCUGAAUGUAUCUGAAAGCAAAAGGGUUAAAAGUCGCAGAAGUAACUUAGAGCUACAAAAAUAGUGGUGAUGCCAGCAGGUGUACAGAGCACACCAAACCACAACGCUGCUCUCGUAUUUGCCUAGACUUUCAGAACCUAAGCCAGCUCUCUCUGAAAGCCACACAAGUGUUUUCUCGUCUUCCUGUGAGGUUCCUUGUGUACUUUUUAAAGUUAUAAAUGAAUAAUUCUUCAUCUGCUGCAACAACAAACCAAUAUGACACAAACAUUUCUGCUGAGUGUGGUUAAACAUCAUUUAAUAGGCAUGUCAGGUCUGGUACUUAUGUGGAAGCUAGCUUAAAAAAAAACAAAACAGUAGUACGGAUGUGCUGACAUUCCUUUGUGGAAUUAUUAAAACCUCAAACAAUCGAGUGGAGACAAACUGCUUUAUGCACAGCCUGUGCAGGCUGCAGACCUCACGUACUUCAUAGCCCAGUCCCCUCACACACACAGGUCCUUUUUCCCUGGGGUGCACGAACCCCCCGAGUGUAAUCUGUAGGGUUUAGAUGCCAGAGGUUUCCUAGCCUCGCAAUUUAAUGAGAAAUGCUUGUUUGUUUGUUUGCCUUUCCCAAGCCUGUUGGGCUUUGCUGUUUUUACUUAGAAAUGUAUCUGCUCUUAGGUUGGUUUGUUUUAGUUGGUUUGUUUCAGCACCACCUGAUACUCUAAAGUACUGGGUUUAAAGUACCAGGUAUGAAGUUUGUCUGCAGGGACUGGGCUCUAGAGCACCAGGAACAACCCCUUGUGCAGUGAAGUUUGGAGCUGGAAGUUUGCUUG
rnacentral:lncRNA from 1 species